CAGUUCACCUAAGACCAUAGUUACUGAAUUUCUAUGCGAAUCAAGAUCGAGAAAAGGAAGUUUUCCAAUCAUUGACUCAAACCCAUUGUCGAACCCCACUCAGCGGAAUAGGGAGGUACUUAUGGCAGAACGGGCCAAUCUGGUCUUUCACAAUAAAGUGAUAGAUGGAACUGCUAUUAAACGACUUAUUAGGAGAUUAAUAGAUCACUUCGGAAUGGCAUAUACAUCACACAUCCUGGAUCAAGUAAAGACUCUGGGGUUCCGACAAGCCACUGCUACAUCCAUUUCAUUAGGAAUUGAUGAUCUUUUAACAAUACCUUCUAAGGGGUGGCUAGUCCAAGAUGCUGAACAACAAAGUUUUAUUUUGGAAAAACACCAUCAUUAUGGGAAUGUACACGCGGUAGAAAAAUUACGCCAAUCUAUUGAGAUAUGGUAUGCUACAAGUGAAUAUUUGCGACAAGAAAUGAAUCCUAAUUUUAGGAUGACCGACCCUUUUAAUCCAGUCCAUAUGAUGUCCUUUUCGGGAGCUAGAGGAAAUGCAUCCCAAGUACACCAAUUAGUAGGUAUGAGAGGAUUAAUGUCGGAUCCACAAGGACAAAUGAUUGAUUUACCUAUUCAAAGCAAUUUACGUGAAGGACUGUCUUUAACAGAAUAUAUCAUUUCUUGUUAUGGAGCCCGAAAGGGAGUUGUGGAUACUGCUGUACGAACAUCGGAUGCUGGAUAUCUUACACGCAGACUUGUUGAAGUAGUUCAACACAUUGUUGUACGUAGAACAGAUUGUGGCACCAUCCGAGGCAUUUCUGUGAGUCCUCGAAAUGGGAUGAUGCCGGAAAGAAUUUUUAUACAAACAUUGAUUGGCCGUGUAUUAGCAUACGAUAUAUAUAUAUAUAUAGGCCCACGAUGCAUUGCCGUUAGAAAUCAAGAUAUUGGUAUUGGACUUGUCAAUCGAUUCAUAACCCUUCAAACACAACCAAUAUCUAUACGAACCCCCUUUACUUGUAAGAGUACAUCUUGGAUCUGCCGAUUAUGUUAUGGCAGGAGCCCCACUCAUGGCGACCUGGUCGAAUUGGGAGAAGCUGUGGGUAUUAUUGCGGGUCAAUCUAUUGGAGAACCGGGCACUCAACUAACAUUAAGAACUUUUCAUACCGGUGGAGUAUUCACAGGGGGUACUGCAGAACAUGUACGAGCCCCUUCUAAUGGAAAAAUAAAAUUCAACGAGGAUUUGGUUCAUCCCACCCGUACACGUCAUGGGCAUCCUGCUUUUCUAUGUUAUAUAGACUUGUAUGUAACUAUUGAGAGUGAAAAUAUUAUACAUAACGUGACUAUUCCACCCAAAAGUUUGAUUUUAGUUCAAAAUGAUCAAUACGUAGAAUCAGAACAAGUGAUUGCUGAGAUUCGCGCGGGAGCAUACACUUUAAAUUUUAAAGAGAGGGUUCGAAAACAUAUUUAUUCUGACUCAGAGGGAGAAAUGCACUGGAGUACUGAUGUAUACCAUGCGCCGGAAUUUACAUAUAGUAAUGUACAUCUUUUACCAAAAACAAGUCAUUUGUGGAUAUUAUCAGGAGGUUCGUGCAGAUCCAGUGCAGUCCCUUUUUCACUCCACAAGGAUCAAGAUCAAACGAACGUUCAUUCUCUUUCUGCUGAAGGAAGAUAUAUUUAUAGCCUUUCAGUAAAUAAUGAUCAAGUGAAACACAAAAGUUUGAAUCUUUCUGGUAAAAAAGAAAGUACAAGUCCUGAUUAUUCAGAAUUAAAUAGAAUCAUAUAUACGGGUCAUUGUAAUCUCAUAUUUCCUGCUAUUCUCCAUGAUAAUUCUGAUUUUUUUUUAUUGACAAAGAGGCGAAGAAAUAGAUUCAUCAUUCCAUUCCAAUCGAUUCAAGAACGAGAGAAAGAACUAAUGCCCCGUCCCAGUAUUUCGAUUGAAAUACCCAUAAAUGGUAUUUUUCGUAGAAAUAGUAUUCUUGCUUAUUUCGAUGAUCCUCAAUACAGAAGAAAGAGUUCGGGAAUUACUAAAUAUGGAACUGUAGGGUUGCAUUCAACCCUCAAAAAAGAGGAUUUAAUUGAGUAUCGAGGAGUUAAAGAAUUUAAGCCAAAAUACCAAAUGAAAGUAGAUCGAUUUUUUUUCAUUCCCGAGGAAGUGCAUAUUUUACCCGAGUCUUCUUCCAUAAUGGUACGGAACAAUAGUAUCAUUGGGAGAGAUACACGAAUCACUUUAAAUACAAGAAGCCGAGUAGGCGGAUUGGUUCGAAUGGAGAGAAAAAAAAAAAGGUUCGAAUGGAGAGAUGGAUAAGAUAUUUCGACACAGCGGCAUCUUGAUACCACCGGGAACGGUAAAAAAAAAUUCCAGUGAAUCAAAAAAAUUGAAAAAUUGGAUUUAUGUCCAAUGGAUCACACCCACCAAGAAAAAGUAAUUUGUUUUGGUUCGACCCAUAAUCAUAUAUGAAAUAACGGACGGUAUAAAUUUAGCAACAUUUUUCCCCUAGGAUCCAUUGCGGGAAAGGGAUAAUCUAGAACUUAGAGUUGUAAAUUAUAUAUUUUACGGAAAUGGCAAACCAAUUCGGGGAAUUUCUGGCACAAGUAUUCAAUUAGUUCGGACCUGUUUAAUGUUGAACUGGGACUAAGACAAAAAAAAAUUCUUCUAUUGAAGAGGCCCAUGCUUCCUUUGUUGAAGUAAUCAAAAAGUNGUCUGAUUCAAUAUUUCCUAAGAAUCAACUUAGUGAAAUCCCAUACUUCGUAUAUCCGAAAAAGGAAUGAUUCGUUAGGUUCGGGA